CUCAGCUUAAUUCCAUAUGGAAUGCUGAAUACGCUCUACAUUAUUUUCAGUCUUCCAUCUCUUACUACACCAGCUCCAUGGCAAAGAGCAUGGCAUCUCGCCGGGGCUCCCAAACCAGAAAUGUCCACUAGGGAUAGCUAGUCUUCAUUUUCACUUCCUCUCCCUGUUUCCAAGAGACAACACAAGUUGAAAGAGUAAUAGAGACCAAAAGAAAUUCAAAGGACCAUUGUUCUGCUUUCAGGGUUGGGGGAGUGAAAACUCUUGGGAGUGCCAACCAAACUUACGAUUUAGCUGGUAGCUACUAGGGACACUUCUUCCUUGGGUGCUAAGUGACCCUGGAUCAGCUCUCACGGAGCUCUCAGAGGUCUCUUGUUUCUGAGGGCACAAGAUUUCCUGCUGUGACUGGGCUGACAACUCUGUGGUCACAACAGCUACGGCAGCACAAUCCUCCAACUGCAGUAUAGUGUCUGCAUGCAGGGAAGGACCCCUGACCUAUCUGGAAAGCCUUCUAUGCAGUGCUGCCGACUAUCACACUUGAAAACAACUAUGAAAAUAAAGUAAUUUUAAAGGCAUAUUCCUGAAACAUAAGGUCCCUGGAGCUGGAGGGAUGACUCAAGGGUUCACCAUUCAUGCAGCAGACUCAGUCAGCACUCAGUUUCUCCAUCAGGCACAUCACUGGUCCUCAGGAAUCGAUGCCCUCUGGCCUCCACAAGCACCUGUACACACAGGUGUACAUUCGCAAAGGAACUCCUGCAUACAUAUAAAUAAUUCUUUUAAAGAUGACUGUUUCACACAUUUCUUGGAGCACAGAAGUGUUGACUCACCCAAUGACUCACAAAGAUUGUGUACCAGAGUGGAGAAUAAAAGCUACAUUAAAAAUAAGUCUGAAAUAGAAGUUGCUGUAGGCUGUCUUGAGCUUUCUCAAAGACCGGAGGAAGAAACUACUGCAAAUUGAACACCGAAGGUAGUUUUUACAAGCAAGCAGUCCCAGGAGCAUGAACCACAGCAACAUAGUAUUCCUCCUCUUUACAAGUCCUUCUGGGACCCAGUGAGUUCAGCCACAGUUUUUCAGCUAUGCACUGGAAUCAGAUGAGCUCGCCAGUGGGGAUGCAAGUGAAGGCAAUGACUACCUCUGCCUCAGAACAGUCAAUACUUCAACAGGCGAUGUGUGGCCCCUCAGGAAACCGCUGCAUCAUCCUUUGAGGAGUAUGGAAGAAGAUGUUUUUAAAGUUUUAUUAGCUGGGAACUUGUAUCUUUAUAGAUUAUUCUGAAAACAAAAUAUAAUUACCAUGCUGAGUUUUUAAAUGGGCAUGCACUAUGUGCCAACCAGCCAUCCAAAGGAUGUAGAGGUUUGACUAAUCAGGAUGAAGAAAUUCAUCUUAAAUAGAGGCCAAGUGGAAAAUUUCAUUCCCCCAAAAGACAGGACAGCUCUAGAAAGGUGGAAAGAUCUUAUUUAUUUACUGGAGACCAAAACAAAGCCCAAAUAACUGAGAAAGUAUGAUACAAGAACCUAAACUGUAUCAGGGUACCAGGGCUGCAAUAAAAGACCAAAUUAGUUACUCUGUAUUAAUCCAAACUAUGAAAAGGUAGAAGAGAGAAAAUGGAGCCCUUUCAUGGAGAAGUGUGAGGACA